UUUUUAUUUUUUAUUUUUUUUGUAAUAAUGGUUUUUUUUAUGAAGGAAAUGUAAAGAUGUUUUGUUUUACAGUUUACAGGAAGCACAGAAGAGGAUGAAGAUCAAGAAACAACCGCAUAUUUUAGUGAUACAUUUGAAGCGGUUCAAGUGCAUGGAACAGCUGGGAAGUGUGGACCCACCUAAUGGGAUAUGGCUGCUGAAAUCUGCCUUUCACUUGAUUGUUCUCCUGUAUUUUAUUUUGGUUAUGGUUUGACCACGUGUCAUUACAGGGACGUACAUUACUUAGAAUUUUUCAUUUUAUUCAUUUCUACAUUAUGACAAAUCUAUAAUUAUGAGCAUACUUCCAUGUCUUGCUUGCUUUUCAGUUUUUUGGUGAGUUGUGCACAGUUUGAUGUUGUGAAAGCAUCUGGAUUGGUUCCUCCUGUGAUGCGAUCAUACAGUAAUAAUAUUAAUGGGGAUUAGGAUUUGACAGAAGGUAAAUUGAUGACAUGACAACAACAAAUACUAGGAAAGAAGGGUAUCUUGGUCCGCUUGAGUAUACUUCAUAUGCUGAUUGCUACAAGCAAAAGUUCUGUUUGAAGAUUUGGGCAACUUUAAGCAGUACGUUCAUAGGCUGGCAGCUCGAUCAGUUCAUUAUUAUCAUCAUCUAGGACCAAUUCUACAAGACUCCGGGUUCUUCUUGCUAUAUGAACUUGGGCAGGAAAGAGCAUAUGUCAGUGAGACAUUAUUCACCUUUGUCUUCCUUUCCUUUGUCCUGGAUCAUACUGCAAUCAUUACUUUUUGUGAAUGCUUGCAAUGAUUGGCAAGAGUCAUUAUGAUGCUUCUUACAAUGCAGGCAUAGCCUUGGUCAAACAGGCAGAAGAUGCUGCAAGUAAUAAGAAGGCAGAAAAGAGAUUGCAGGUUGAUCUUGCUACACGUCCAAUAAUGAUCUUUAGGGUAUGCUAGAAGGAUUGGAGAUUGCAGUUAAGAUUUUAUCUAAUACUUCACGCCAAGGACUUGAUGAAUUUAAGCUAGCAAUGUUUUACUUGAUUUGGACAUGAACCCUAAGAUAUCAUAUUUUGACAUGGCUAGAAGCUUUGGAGGAAAGGAGACUCAAGCAAAAGUAAGCACACAGAGAGUUGUUGGCACAUAGUAAGCUAGAUAAUGCAAUUGUAUAUAAAUGAGUUCAUUUUUUAUAACAUUUACUCACUAUUGGAAUAAUUAUUUGUAUUUGACAUAUUAGUGAAAUAAAUUAUCUUUGUUAU